ensembl:lncRNA
AUGCCCGGCCUCAGAAUCUUUCUUUACUACAACUCUGUAGAGAUACUGUUGAUGCUCUGCUUGGAUCCCUGGAAUUCUUUAUACUGCCCAGUACUGUUUCUGUAUGUCCUCCUCCUUCUUCAUAGGAUUACUUUGGAGAGCUGGAGUCCCUUACCAGUGCAAACUCUGUGGCAUAAUGUAUGCUCCAGAAGGCUCUGCAUGAUCAGGCUAGCUGAGGUUCAUUUGAAAUCACACCUUUGGUGUCUCCUUCACUGCCUCACUGUUUCACCUGGAAGAACUUUCUUUAUCCUUCUGUCAUGUUCUGCUUCUAGGGACACGGAGCAGUCCUUCUUUGCACUGGGCUCUCUGUUCUUUCAUGAUACGAUGUUGCAGCAAAGAAUGAAGAGGAUGCCUUGUUGAAAGCUAAGCCUGUUGCUGUAGCAAGCAGAUCUUUCGCCAGAGCAAUGACUCAACACACCACAAGGCAACUGAGUCUUGCUGCACUCCAGAGACUGUGGUUAGAAAUAUGUCACCAGUGGGAGCAUCAUUAAUCACAAUUGUAGGAGUGACAGUCAGUUUCUUGACCUCGUUGAGACAGGCAGGGAGGUCAGAGCUUCAAGCAGUUCAUCCUCCAGGCAAGGAAAACUAUUGGGAAGAUUUCCUUUUUGUUAUCGCUGGCAUUUUUAUUUAAUCUCAUCAUUUUCCCCACAAUCUGGGCAGAAGUACAAAAGCUUCAGACAGGCACAUUCUGCCCUUUUCUCUUUUUCUCUCUGCCAAAAGUAACCUUGGCAAUUGAUGGUUUAGGGAAAAGCUACCAUUCCCCUUUUCCUCAAUCUUAUUUUCUCUCAUCCAUCUUCUCUUAUUCUCUUUUUUUUCUUCACACUUCUCUUGGGGUCUAAAGAUCAGGAGGGUAGAAAGAGUCAUCUUAAUGGAGCCUGAUGUUAGCAGCCCUGCCUAUUUCUCUGUAUUGAUUGUAGGAGAAGGUUAGGAAGAAAUCUUCCCUGCAUGAGAGCACAUAUGUCCCUCCCACAGUGGUCAGCCUGGUUGCUGUUGGAAGAGGGCUGGUGUUGUUAUUAGAGCCUGUCACAGCCGAUGAAUUUCAUUCCAGGCCCUACAUAGAAAGCUUCAUAAAGGAAAAACACCAAGAAUGAAAAGAAUUCAAGAACGUUGGUUUGUAUAUCUGAGUGCACGUUAGGACAUUAAAAGCAUAUUUAAUUUCAUAUGGAAAAUCAUCGUGAUAUCAUAACAAAAGACAGGUUUGAAAUCAGAAAGUGAAUAGGGUAAAAGGAGAUUUAAAUCAUUCACUGCAUUACUACUGUGCCAUGUGCAUAGUAGGCCCCUGGGCAUACAGAAUUUAAGAUGCUGGAUGUAGUCCUACAUUUGUAGUCUGUACAUUCUUGGGGGAGGGAGAUGGAUAAAUAAACAAGUUUUUUAAAAAGAAGAAAAUUGAAAAUAGAGACAAGAAAAAUAAAAGAAAUAAAAGAAUGAGACGUGGAAGCAUGGUGGUAGAGUAAGUACACCCCCAAGAAAGUACAAUAUAAAUAUAUACAUGUUUAUGGGUACUGCAUGGAAAUUAAAAAAAAAAAUUCUGAAUGUGCUAAUUUUUCAAUAAAAGAGAAAGAAGAUCAUUGAUAUUUAUCAUUAUUCAAAGGAAAUUGUUGUUUUUCAAGAAAAACAGUUUUAGAUUAGUUCCUAACAUUUAUUCUUCUUUCUCCUUCCUUCCUUCCUCCUUCCCUUCCUUUCUUUCUUCCUUUCUUCUUUCUUUCUUUUCUUCUUUCUUUCUUUCUUCUUUCUUUCUUGGCGGCGGCGGUGGCGGGUGGUGCGGUGGUGGCGGGCGGAUCGGCAGGGCGGCGGCGCAAGAUCUGCUGGAACGCUGAACGGCGGCAGCCGAUCGGCAAGGGCGGACGGCGGAUCUGCCUGGCGGCGCACCGCCCGCCUUCCUUCCUUCCUUCCUUCCUUCCUUCCUUCCUUCCUUCCUUCCUUCCUUCCUUCUCUCUCUCUGUCUUUCUUUCUUUCUUAAAACCAAACCAAACAAUAAAACAAGAAAAACCCCAAAACCUCAUUUUAGUUCAGUCUAGUCUAUAACUAAGCAGGGUUUUAUGUUUCUUAGAAUGUAAUUAAUUCCUAGUAAAUUACUAUCUUAUGAGGGAUUUAGAUUUCUGUGUAAUUCUGUGCCCUUUAUUCCAGUCCAAAGAGUAUGCAUGUAUUUGGGGUUAUAACACCAGUGUCAUGAAGUGAGAGUAUCUGUUUACAUGAUGUGUCACACUUUCUCUGUCUCCACAAAUUGCUUUAUUUUAAAAGCAAUUAAUGGGCUUAGCCAUUAUCUUCAAAGAGAUCUGAACAAUUAGGGCUAUCCUAUUCUUUCCUUUUUUCCCCCCGUUUCUGAAAGAUACUACCUUUACCCUUGCUAUCAUUGAGAUGUGUUGCAAGAUCUCUCUGAGGUCAUGCUGUAAAGAUUUAAGCCUUAGAAAAUUAAAGCUUAUGAUAAUAUGUAUUAUGGAAACUUCAAAGAUCCACAUUAUCAAAUAUAGUGAUUUCAAACCUCAAUUGAUGUAGUUUUAUACAUGAAUACAAACACCUGAACCUAUUAAGACAGUGAAUUAAUGUAUACAUAAAUAAUUGUCAACGUAGAACAAAAGAGUUUGAUGUAAGUCUAUGGCUGAGGUUUAUUUAUUUUGUGAAAAUUUUUACCUUUUUAGUUUUAUUAGUGAUGAACAAAUAUACAAAUGUUAUAGACAAACUACAUACUGAAAUAUAUGUACUCUGACUUCUUUCUUGAUUGUGUCAAUUCUAUUUAGUUAUUUUUCAGAGGCUGCUGAGAGAAUUACUUCUUUAUUUAAGAAAUUGGGAAUUGAAGAUUCUGAGUAGUUUUUAGUCAGAGUCAUUACCCCUCUGUCUUUACAUGAAAAUAGUAGCAUCAACAAGGCAUCUCAAAUGGCAUUUUAACUAUUAAUCAGAAAACUGUUUUGGUGAUUAUUUUAGCACAUGAGAAAUUUUCGAUCUAGCAGUUGACUAUUGCUUAAUUAACAGAGGAUUUAAUGAAAAGCUUAAUAAUGGGAGUGCCCAAGAAUAUCUGGAGGAAGUUUUUACCAAAUUCAAUUCUACUACACUUUCCCUAAAAGUUGUCAUUGAAAAAACUUCAUAUUCCAUGUUGUCCUUUUAUUACUACAAAAUAAGUGUUACCAUGGAGUUUGAACAUGAACACAAAGCCCUGAACAUAUAUGAUGACAGUGAAUUAAUUUAUUUGAGACACUUCUGUUUUUCUCAGGGAGCCAGUGGGAAUGUAAAGCAAACUUUCUCUUUUUUCAAAGAAUCUUUAAGGAUAACAAAUUGAAUUACAGGAUUUGUUGUAUAAAUAGAUUUGUUUUUCAUUGAAGGGGGCAGAAUUUUAUAGUAGAAUAUGUUUAGGGUGAGAUUUGUGUGGUCGCAGGAUGAAAAAGGAGGAAGAAAUAUAAGGGAAAUUAUUUAUAGAAAACAAUCAGUAAAUUUGAAUCUUGACCUCGAGUUGUUUAUGUCAACUGAAACAUAACUGUGGACCACCUUAAUUAUGUUUUGCUUUCCUGUUUCUGUCUGGCUGCUUUAUUUGUCUACAUUAAAGAAGGAUUUUCCAUACUAUCUGGUUUCCUCUUCCUCACUUUAUUUGUUCAGAACAUCAUUUUUUGGGAAAAGUGAGUUACUUAUUAAAAGCAUCUUCCUUAUGACAGUGUCCUCCUUUUCCUAAACAAUGAGUUAGAGAUUGUCACCAUUUAUAUUAACCCAAA